CUUCCUCUCCUAGGGAACAAGUCCCAUUAGAGCAGCCCCGCAGUGGUUUUGGAGCAGCAGACUCCCAUUUAUUCUCUCGUCUGCAUUGUACUGCCAGAUUGAAUAACUGAAUAUGCUUCUCAGGAGGCCAAAUAGAAACCUCUCAUUUUGAAUUGCAAAGGUUGCUAGACAUGGCAACCCCUCGCACUGUUAAAACCAUAGUCCAGUACUAGUCUGGUUGUUAUGGCUGGAUCUCUGCCUUGCUUCAUGGGAAAUAAUCACUAUCUGUAGAGAAAAAAUACUAUAUGCCAUAUCUGUAGAAAUGGCACCAUCUUAGAAGAAGUUCUAAAGCUCAAGACAAAUAAGUCCUGUGAUGUCAUAAUUAAGAAAAAAGCCUGAGACUGAUGGCACAGGACAGCUGGUUUUGCAGUCAAGGCACAGGAUGGGGAAGCAGGAGAACUGUAUUCAGUUUUUAGUUUCCUUUGUGGGAAGUUGAGAAUUGAAGGGAGGAUGAAUUAAUUCAUGUUAAAUCAGAACAGGCACCCAAUUCCAGGAGUAGAGGCCGGAGAUCCUUUAUUCACCAGUUACUCAGCUGAGAUUCUGCUUCACACAUCCUUCCUUUCAGCCGGGAUGUGCUCAGGGUCAUACAGAAUUUAUAGUGCAUUUAACUAAUUCUUUGUGUUGUGGAUAAUGAGAACAUAAAACUCCAGCUGAAUACCCUAAUCUUUCAGUUUGCAUCCUGUGUGAAUGUAUCGUCGGGGGAGGCAGUCUCCAUACCAAGGCUAGUUGACAAUUUUCCAGAAAAGCUGGUUUUAGUGGAAACGUUGGUUAUUAGCUAAAUGAAAUUUUUUGUGAGAAGUUUCUUCUGCAGAAAUUUGAUUUUAAUUUUUGGUCAAACUUUCUGGAUGCAAACUGAACAAAACGAAACCUAUUUUCACCCAGUUACAGUCAAUAGCCUCUAUUUCACUUGCUUUCACACUCCCACUCUCUAGGCCUUACCUUGUGGUCCCGGUAAGCUCAUCAGCACCAGUCCUUAACUGGCCAGAGAGGUAGCUAUUGAGUAAGGUGAGGCAUUUGCUUCCACAGCACUUCAAGCCUCUGUUUCUGAGGAUGGGACUAG